AGAUUGAACGCUGGCGGCAUGCCUAACACAUGCAAGUCGAACGGGAGUAGCAAUACUCUAGUGGCGGACGGGUGAGGAAUACGUAGGAAUUUGCCCUUAAGUGGGGGAUAACCCGGGGAAACCCGGAUUAAUACCGCAUGACCUCGAAAGAGCAAAGUGGGGGAUCGCAAGACCUCACGCUUUUGGAGAAGCCUACGUCGGAUUAGCUAGUUGGUGAGGUAAUGGCUCACCAAGGCGACGAUCCGUAACUGGUCUGAGAGGAUGAUCAGUCACACCGGAACUGAGACACGGUCCGGACUCCGUACGGGAGCAGCAGUGGGGAAUAGUUGGACAAU
rnacentral:rRNA from 1 species